rnacentral:rRNA from 1 species
GAUGAACGCUGGCGGCGUGCCUAAUACAUGCAAGUCGAGCGAACAGACGAGGAGCUUGCUCCUCUGACGUUAGCGGCGGACGGGUGAGUAACACGUGGAUAACCUACCUAUAAGACUGGGAUAACUUCGGGAAACCGGAGCUAAUACCGGAUAAUAUAUUGAACCGCAUGGUUCAAUAGUGAAAGACGGUUUUGCUGUCACUUAUAGAUGGAUCCGCGCCGCAUUAGCUAGUUGGUAAGGUAACGGCUUACCAAGGCAACGAUGCGUAGCCGACCUGAGAGGGUGAUAGGGCACACUGGAACUGAGACACGGUCCAGACACCUACGGGAGGCAGCAGUAGGGAAUCUUCCGCAAUGGGCGAAAGCCUGACGGAGCAACGCCGCGUGAGUGAUGAAGGUCUUCGGAUCGUAAAACUCUGUUAUUAGGGAAGAACAAAUGUGUAAGUAACUAUGCACGUCUUGACGGUACCUAAUCAGAAAGCCACGGCUAACUACGUG